rnacentral:rRNA from 1 species
GUCCACACUGUAAACGAUGAUAACUAGAUGUUCGGGGGUAACCCUGAGUGUUCAAGCGAAAGCGAUAAGUUAUCCACCUGGGGAGUACGACCGCAAGGUUGAAACUCAAAGGAAUUGACGGGGGCCCGCACAAGCGGUGGAGCAUGUGGUUUAAUUCGAUGAUACGCGAGGAACCUUACCUAGGCUAGAAUGUGCGUGAAUAUUACUGAAAGGUAAUAGUCCUUCGGGACACAAAACAAGGUGCUGCAUGGUUGUCGU